rnacentral:tRNA from 1 species
GGGAUAAGAGUCUGGGCAGACAUCAGCCUUGUAAGUUGAAAAGGAAGGACUAGCAACCUUCUUAUCCCU